rnacentral:rRNA from 1 species
CGUACAAGGUUUCCGUAGGUGAACCUGCGGAAGGAUCAUUAAAGAGUAAGGGUGCUCAGCGCCCGACCUCCAACCCUUUGUUGUUAAAACUACCUUGUUGCUUUGGCGGGACCGCUCGGUCUCGAGCCGCUGGGGAUUCGUCCCAGGCGAGCGCCCGCCAGAGUUAAACCAAACUCUUGUUAUUUAACCGGUCGUCUGAGUUAAAAUUUUGAAUAAAUCAAAACUUUCAACAACGGAUCUCUUGGUUCUCGCAUCGAUGAAGAACGCAGCGAAAUGCGAUAAGUAAUGUGAAUUGCAGAAUUCAGUGAAUCAUCGAAUCUUUGAACGCACAUUGCGCCCCUUGGUAUUCCGAGGGGCAUGCCUGUUCGAGCGUCAUUACACCACUCAAGCUAUGCUUGGUAUUGGGCGUCGUCCUUAGUUGGGCGCGCCUUAAAGACCUCGGCGAGGCCACUCCGGCUUUAGGCGUAGUAGAAUUUAUUCGAACGUCUGUCAAAGGAGAGGAACUCUGCCGACUGAAACCUUUAUUUUUCUAGGUUGACCUCGGAUCAGGUAGGGAUACCCGCUGAACUUAAGCA